rnacentral:lncRNA from 1 species
GAGCUCUACGGCUCUCUAGCUGUGUGACCUUGGCAACAUGAUGAAAAUCCAACUUUUCAAAGAUCUGACUCCGGCUAAAGGAAUGUAGGGCUAAUGCCAGUGACAAAAUGGACUGGCCAACAACAAGAGAGCAAGGGCAAGAACAAGCAGGCACACGUAAUGGAUGUCAGAUGCCUAACGUGUGCCGGAAAAGCUGUCAAGUUGGACGAGGAGGCGGAAAAGUAAUCGAGACCUGUAGUGCUUUUUGACUUACAAUGUAUUACACUGAUCAAACACUUAAAAAUAAUGAUGAAAA